UCUCUCUGCCACCCCUCCCCCCCGCCUGCCUGCCGUUUGCGCUCUCUCAAAAAUAAACCUUAAAAAAAAAAUGGCCUGUGUUGAAAUAAGAACUUUUGUUUAUGUGACAGAAUGGAAAGACAAACCACAAAAGGGACAAAGAUACAGAUACAUCCUACAAAGGAGAUACGUCUCUCUCUCUCUCUCACGAUCUAUGUCACAUGUCACCUUGAUAUAGAUCUAUCUUUCAAGCGAUCCAGGUUAUAUGAAGAAUUCCCGUACAUCAGAAAGAAGAAAGAUGACUUACAAAAUAAUGGGCAAAAGAUAUGAACCGGCAUUUUUUAGAAAAUAAUGUAGAAAUGGAGAAUAAACAUGAAAAGAGGCUCAUUAGUAAUGAAAGAUCAAAUUAGGAUCAUAAUGAGCUAUUCUUUUAUACCCAUCAGGAAAAAUGAAGACUCAAUAUCAGGUGUUGAUGAGGAUGUGGAACAAUAGGAACGAUCACACACCACUGGUCUCUCCAAUUCCAGUCUCUCUCAAGGAAUGAAAAGCAGUAGCAGAGUCUCCAGUCUUCUUCUGGGACUUAAUGGAUGACUCAGAGGUCCUCUGUCUGUGUCCGCUGUGGUUUAUCUGGGACUCUGAACUGAGAGAGACAGAGCAUGAACGGGGGAGGGGCAGAGAGAGA